rnacentral:rRNA from 1 species
UACAGAGGUCCCAAGCGUUGUUCGGAUUCACUGGGCGUAAAGGGCUCGUAGGCGGCCAACUAAGUCAGACGUGAAAUCCCUCAGCUUAACUGGGGAACUGCGUCUGAUACUGGAUGGCUUGGAUUUGGGGAGAGGGAUGCGGAAUUCCAGGUGUAGCGGUGAAAUGCGUAGAUAUCUGGAGGAACACCGGUGGCGAAGGCGGCAUCCUGGACCAACAUUGACGCUGAGGAGCGAAAGCCAGGGGAGCAAACGGG